GACGAACGCUGGCGGCGUGCUUAACACAUGCAAGUCGAACGGAAAGGCCUGCUUUCCCUUGUGGAUUGCGGGUACUCGAGUGGCGAACGGGUGAGUAACACGUGAGUGAUCUGCCCCCAACUUGGGUAUAAGCCUGGGAAACUGGGUCUAAUUCCCGAUAGGACUGCAGGGUGGUGCCUGUGGUGGAAAACGAUUUUCUAGUGGUUGGGGAUGAGCUCGCGGCCUAUCAGCUUGUUGGUGGGGUAAUGGCCUACCAAGGCGGCGACGGGUAGCCGGCCUGAGAGGGUGGACGGCCACAUUGGGACUGAGAUACGGCCCAGAAUCCUACGGGAGGCAGCAGUGGGGAAUAUUGCACAAUGGGCGGAAGCCUGAUGCAGCGACGCAGCGUGGGGGAUGACGGCCUUCGGGUUGUAAACUCCUUUCGACCGCGAGGAAGCCACCUGGUUGGAAGGGUGGUGACGGUAGUGGUAGAAGAAGCACCGGCUAACUACGUG
rnacentral:rRNA from 1 species